CAAAGAUUAAGCCAUGGCAUGUGAA
rnacentral:misc_RNA from 1 species